AUUGAACGCUGGCGGCAGGCCUAACACAUGCAAGUCGAACGAGUGGGGACGGGUGAGUAACACGUGGGUAACCUCCCCAUCAGGGGGGAUAACACUUGGAAACAGGUGCUAAACCCAUACUGACGGAUGGACCCGCGGUGGAUUAGCUAGUGGGUGGGGUAACGGCUCACCAAGGCCACGAUGCAUAGCCGACCUGAGAGGGUGAUCAGCAACACUGGGACUGAGACACGGCCCAGACUCCUACGGGAGGCAGCAGUAGGGAAUCUUCGGCAAUGGACGAAAGUCUGACAGAGCAACGCCGCGUGAGUGAAGAAGGUUUUCGGGUCGUAAAGCUCUGUCGUCAGAGAAGCGGUAUCUAACCAGAAAGCCACGGCUAACUACGUGCCAGCAGCCGCGGUAAUAC
rnacentral:rRNA from 1 species